GAGGGUAUGGCAGAGUGGCUAUGCGAUGGACUGCAAAUCCAUUUACCUUGGUUCGAUUCCAAGUAUCCUCUCCA
rnacentral:tRNA from 1 species